rnacentral:rRNA from 1 species
GACGAACGCUGGCGGCGUGCCUAACACAUGCAAGUCGAACGGAAAGGCCCUGAUUUUGUGGGGUGCUCGAGUGGCGAACGGGUGAGUAACACGUGAGUAACCUGCCCUUGAUUUUGGGAUAACUUCAGGAAACUGGGGUUAAUAUCGGACAGGAGACCCUGCUGCAUGGUGGGGGUUGGAAAGUCUCGGCUGGUGGGGAUGGAUGGGCGGCUUAUGGACUUGUUGGUCGGGGAGGGGCUGACCAAGGCUUUGACUGAUAGCCGGCCUGAGAGGGUGACCGGCCACCAGAGGACUAAGAUAGGGCCCAGAGGCCAACAGGAGACAGAGGUGGGAAGUAUUGCCCAAUGAGCGGAAGUGUGAGGCGAAGGCGCCGCGUGCGUGAAGACGGCCUUUGGGGUAAGAAACGCUUUAGGCUGUGACGAAGCGUGAGUGACGGUAAUGGGUAAAGAAGCACCGGCUAACUACGUG